AUUGAACGCUGGCGGCAUGCUUUACACAUGCAAGUCGAACGGCAGCGGGGAGGAGCUUGCUUCUCUGCCGGCGAGUGGCGAACGGGUGAGUAAUACAUCGGAACGUGUCGAGAAGAGGGGGAUAACCACCCGAAAGGGUGGCUAAUACCGCAUAAAUUCUGAGGAAGAAAGCUGGGGACCUAGGAAUAGGCCUAGCGCUUUUUGAGCGGCCGAUGUCGGAUUAGCUAGUUGGUGAGGUAAAGGCUCACCAAGGCGAAGAUCUGUAGCGGGUCUGAGAGGAUGAUCCGCCAUACUGGGACUGAGACACGGCCCAGACUCCUACGGGAGGCAGCAGUGGGGAAUUUUGGACAAUGGGGGCAACCCUGAUCCAGCCAUGCCGCGUGUAUGAAGAAGGCCUUAGGGUUGUAAAGUACUUUUGUUAGGGAAGAAAAGUCAGCUGUGAAUAAUGGCUGAUACUGACGGUACCUAAAGAAUAAGCACCGGCUAACUACGUG
rnacentral:rRNA from 1 species